rnacentral:sRNA from 1 species
GGACGGGAGGGCCGUCCGGCCAUGGCAUCUUUCACUCCCUUAAUUGCCAGGGUUGAUUUGGCUACUCUGGCUGCCUAGAUCGCCUCUCUUGCUCACGGAUCCAUGCAGGUCCCUCCCCAGACUGAAGAGUAUGACCUUCCCUGGAUAAAGGAGAGUACCAUUCUUCAAGUGUGUACAGAAGCUCCUAUAUGUACUCAAGAUAUAUUUGUGGCCAGGUGGCAAUGUAGCACACACCUGUAAUCU